CAAAUGGCAGACGAGAUGGUCCCGCCGGACAUGAAGGGCAGUAUAAGUCUGUUUUAACCCAUUCAUGUGAGGUUUAAUCCUGUAUGUAAUCAGGAUAAAAGUGUACGAAAGCUCGCUGAAUGAAUUAAGACAUAACGCCGCGGCAUUGACAGAUCUCAGACUGCGUGGAGGUUGCCUGACUACACGAACCAGCCGUGGACAAUGCCAAUGAACAUGAUGAAGGAGAGUUGAUAGCACUAAGAUGUGGUAUUUUCAGCAUAGAAUUUUCACCAAUGUUUUAGAAUCUGUGAAACAGAAUUGGUUUUGUGUGGCUUCACUUCUUCAGAAUUUUAUAAUGACUAAUGACAUGUACCACUGUGGACAUAUCUGGUUAUGCUUACAAGAAAUAAGUAAAAGAACAGGGAUCAAUAUUCAGGGGUAUUGCAAGUCUGAAGCCCAUGCAGUGAUUCAAAGAUGGCAAAUAUGCGCAAAAAGAUGAAAAGUUGGGUUGCAAGUUGGAAAAAACAUUGUAACAGCAGCUGAUAUGAAAACUGCCCUUCACUCUAGAACAGGUUUUGCUGGAUGUCAAGUCUCUGAAUGUGCUAACUACACCUCAUAACACAAACUGAUAACACACAAGUUUAAUGGAAUAAAUGAUUUAAACGAGUUGUGAGUUGAAGAAGAUGUUAUACUACUGAGGAAAGCCUACAACGUUGGCAAAGUAAAAUUUAUUCCUUAUAAAUCCAUAGACCAAAUGGAUUUUGGUAACCGACAGGAAAAUAAAACAGAAAAAUGUGUGUUAAUAUCAGGAUUUUAUUUACCUGUUAAUGUAACUGGAAAAAUCAAAACACCUAAAACAGAUGGUGCAGUUAAUCUCCAUGAAGGACCAGAAAUAAAAACAGAAAAUGGUGAAGACUCAACCAUAUUAUCCUCUCAUCACUCAGAAAGUUCUGAUUAAAUGCUGUUCUUUUGCUCAAAAGUUGGCUGUGUCAUUAGAUUUGCUACCUUAAAUAGACUUGAAAACCAUCUAUUGAUAGCUAUAUAUAUAUAUA